AACGAACGCUGGCGGCAGGCUUAACACAUGCAAGUCGAGCGCCCCGCAAGGGGAGCGGCAGACGGGUGAGUAACGCGUGGGAAUCUACCCAUCUCUACGGAAUAACGCAUGGAAACGUGUGCUAAUACCGUAUACGUCCUUCGGGAGAAAGAUUUAUCGGAGAUGGAUGAGCCCGCGUUGGAUUAGCUAGUUGGUGGGGUAAAGGCCUACCAAGGCGACGAUCCAUAGCUGGUCUGAGAGGAUGAUCAGCCACACUGGGACUGAGACACGGCCCAGACUCCUACGGGAGGCAGCAGUGGGGAAUAUUGGACAAUGGGCGCAAGCCUGAUCCAGACAGGCCGCGUGGGUGAUGAAGGCCCUAGGGUUGUAAAGCUCUUGCACCGGUGAAGAUAAUGACGGUAACCGGAGAAGAAGCCCCGGCUAACUUCGUGCCAGCCGCCGCAGUAAGAC
rnacentral:rRNA from 1 species